rnacentral:misc_RNA from 1 species
UAACUUUUGCAAUUGCAGCAGAGGAAAAUGAUGCAGUUCACGUCUCUGAGUGCCCUUUCUUUGUGAUAUCUGGCGACUCCCAGGGUAUUACAGCAAAAGACAUGUGGAAUGAAGUUAAAAAGCAUGGAUCCUUUGACCACCUUCAAUCUGAGGAAAAGUCAAUGCCUUCUGAACCGGGAUCACUUGUUGGAGCGGCAGUUGCAGCUUCACUAACUAUUCCAGCAGAUGAUGUAAGAAGUGCAACAUUCUCAUUGGCAUGGGCCUGCCCUGAAAUUAAUUUUGGAGAUGGUAAAACUUAUCAGAGGCGCUACACUAAGUUCUAUGGUACUACGGGUCAUGCUGCUGCAGAAAUUGCACAUGAUGCUAUCCAAGAGCAUACUCAGUGGGAGUCACAAAUAGAAGAAUGGCAAAAACCUAUUAUUGAAGACAAGAGGCUUCCCGAAUGGUACCCAGUAACACUCUUCAAUGAGCUCUAUUAUUUAAAUGCAGGAGGGACAAUUUGGACAGAUGGAUUGCCACCAGUUCAAAGUGUAUCAACAAUUGGGAAAAGAUUUUCCAUUGAAAGAUCUAGUUCGGAUGUUAAGAAAAAUGCUCAUUUAACCCAUUCAGAUGGCACUGCUGUUAGUAUUCUUGAG